AGGAUAAUAGUUUACAAAAACAUUUAAUUUGCAUUUAAAAGUCAUCAUCCUUGAUUUAUCUUU
rnacentral:tRNA from 1 species